rnacentral:tRNA from 1 species
UCCCUCUUAGCUCAGUUGGCAGAGCAUCUGACUGUUAAUCAGAUUGUCGCUGGUUCGACCCCAGCAGAGGGAGCCA